UCAGGACGAACGCUGGCGGCGUGCUUAACACAUGCAAGUCGAACGGUGAUGGAGAGCUUGCUCUUCGGAUCAGUGGCGAACGGGUGAGUAACACGUGAGUAACCUGCCCUGGACUCUGGGAUAAGCGUUGGAAACGACGUCUAAUACCGGAUAGGACUUCCUUCGGCAUCGGAGGGGGUGGAAAGAACUUCGGUUCGGGAUGGACUCGCGGCCUAUCAGCUUGUUGGUGAGGUAAUGGCUCACCAAGGCGACGACGGGUAGCCGGCCUGAGAGGGUGACCGGCCACACUGGGACUGAGACACGGCCCAGACUCCUACGGGAGGCAGCAGUGGGGAAUAUUGCACAAUGGGCGCAAGCCUGAUGCAGCAACGCCGCGUGAGGGAUGACGGCCUUCGGGUUGUAAACCUCUUUUGGCAGGGAAGAAGCGGAAGUGACGGUACCUGCAGAAAAAGCACCGGCUAACUACGUGCCAGCAGCCGCGGUAAUACGUAGGGUGCAAGCGUUGUCCGGAAUUAUUGGGCGUAAAGAGCUCGUAGGCGGUUUGUCGCGUCUGCUGUGAAAACGCGAGGCUCAACCUCGCGCCUGCAGUGGGUACGGGCAGACUGGAGUGCGGUAGGGGAGAUUGGAAUUCCUGGUGUAGCGGUGGAAUGCGCAGAUAUCAGGAGGAACACCGAUGGCGAAGGCAGAUCUCUGGGCCGUUACUGACGCUGAGGAGCGAAAGCGUGGGGAGCGAACAGGAUUAGAUACCCUGGUAGUCCACGCCGUAAACGUUGGGAACUAGAUGUGGGGUCCAUUCCACGGAUUCCGUGUCGCAGCUAACGCAUUAAGUUCCCCGCCUGGGGAGUACGGCCGCAAGGCUAAAACUCAAAGGAAUUGACGGGGGCCCGCACAAGCGGCGGAGCAUGCGGAUUAAUUCGAUGCAACGCGAAGAACCUUACCAAGGCUUGACAUGCACCUGAAACGGCUGGAAACAGUCGCCCCGCAAGGCAGGUGCACAGGUGGUGCAUGGUUGUCGUCAGCUCGUGUCGUGAGAUGUUGGGUUAAGUCCCGCAACGAGCGCAACCCUCGUUCUAUGUUGCCAGCGGGUCAUGCCGGGAACUCAUAGGAGACUGCCGGGGUCAACUCGGAGGAAGGUGGGGAUGACGUCAAAUCAUCAUGCCCCUUAUGUCUUGGGCUUCACGCAUGCUACAAUGGCCGGUACAAAGGGCUGCGAUACCGUAAGGUGGAGCGAAUCCCAAAAAGCCGGUCUCAGUUCGGAUUGAGGUCUGCAACUCGACCUCAUGAAGUCGGAGUCGCUAGUAAUCGCAGAUCAGCAACGCUGCGGUGAAUACGUUCCCGGGCCUUGUACACACCGCCCGUCAAGUCAUGAAAGUCGGUAACACCCGAAGCCGGUGGCCCAACCCUUGUGGAGGGAGCCGUCGAAGGUGGGAUCGGUGAUUAGGACUAAGUCGUAACAAGGUAGCCGUACCGGAAGGUGCGG
rnacentral:rRNA from 1 species